AGUGAACGCUGGCGGCGUGCCUAAUACAUGCAAGUCGAACGGAGUGGCGCACGGGUGAGUAAUAUAUAGCUAAUCUGCCCCUUGCUGGGGGACAACAGUUAGAAAUGGAUGCUAAUACUCCAAAGCAAGGGAUGAGACUAUAUCGUAUCAGCUAGUCGGGGGGGUACCGGCCUACCGAGGCUAUGACGCGUAACUGGUCUGAGAGGAUGAUCAGGCACAUUGGAAUUGAGACACGGGUGAAACUCCUACGGGAAGCAGCAGUAGUGAAGAGUGCGCAUGGGGGGAGACCCGUACGCAGCAACGCCGCGUGGAGGAUGAUACUUUUCGGAGAGUAUACUCCUUUUGUUAGGGAAGCGGUACCUAACGAAUAAGCACCGGCUAACUCCGUGCCAGCAGCCGCGGUAAUAC
rnacentral:rRNA from 1 species